rnacentral:rRNA from 1 species
ACGCUCGACACCUACGGGAGCAGCAGUGGGGAAUAUUGCACAAUGGGGGAAACCCUGAUGCAGCGACGCCGCGUGAAGGAUGAAGUAUUUCGGUAUGUAAACUUCUAUCAGCAGGGAAGAAAGUGACGGUACCUGACUAAGAAGCCCCGGCUAACUACGUGUCAGCAGCCGCGGUAAUCUGAGCGGGCUGGCAAGGC